CAGGCUGCAACCCGCCCUGCGUGAAGUCGGAAUCGCUAGUAAUCGCGGAUCAGCAUGCCGCGGUGAAUACGUUCCCGGGCCUUGUACACACCGCCCGUCACACCAUGAGAGUCGGGAACACCCGAAGUCCGUAGCCUAACCGCAAGGAGGGCGCGGCCGAAGGUGGGUUCGAUAAUUGGGGUGAAGUCGUAACAAGGUACC
rnacentral:rRNA from 1 species